GCCUGGGUGGCUCAGUAGGUUGAGCAUCUGACUCUUGAUUUCGGCUCAGGUCAUGAUCUCAUGAUCUGGGGGUUCGAGCCCCGCAUCGGGCU
rnacentral:tRNA from 1 species